UGCCAUAAUUUGAGGGCUUUGCCAGACUGGAUACUCAAUCUCACUUCCCUCAAAGACCUUUAUAUAUGCGAGUGCCUUCAAUCACCGUACUUGCAAGGAAGGGAUGCAAAGCCUCACCUCUUUAGAACGAUUGAUAGUUCAUCAUUGCCCUAAUCUGAGUUCUUCCACAUAUUCUCUCAAAGCACUUCUAAUUCGGGGGUGCCCUAAUUUAAGCUUCUGGAGAUCGAGGCGUCUGUUUUCCACUUUAGAAGAAUUGAAUGUUCAAAAUUGCCCUAAUCUGGAGGAUUUGCUGAAUCGCAUUGCUAAGAUGAUCACUUCCCUCAAAACACUUAAGAUUUGUAAGUGCCUUGAAUUACAAGACUUGCCACAAAGGAUGGAUGGCCUUACCUCUUUACAAGUAUUGUCAAUCAGUGAAUGUCCUCGGUUGUCAAAAAGAUGUGAAAAGGAUACCGGAGUCCUGUGGCCUCGCAUUGCUCGCAUCCCAUCUAUUAUAGUCGAUGGGCGACAGAUUCAAUGAUGAUCAUACCGUAUAGGUAAUCACAUUUUUCUUCACCUCUAUUUAUAUUUUCUCCCUUUACUUGAUAAUCUUUUUUUUUCCCCCUGGAUUUGGAUGAUUCUUAAUUUGUUGCAUGCAUGUAAUCCAAGUCAACUAUGAAAAAUUGGAUUUAAUCCAUUCUCUGCUACUUCUUUCUAAGUGGACUAACAAUAUUGAUUUCUUUUUUCUUUUCUUACUUUGAAUUUUUUUUGUUAAGUUAAAUAUUACUAAUAUGAAAUGUAACCAAAACUUGAUGUCAAAACUCUGCCAGUAUGCCAUGGCAAUUGGGAACUUUUUCCUUGUUUCAAUCUCUCAUUCUUCAAUUAUAAUCCUAAAUUUGAAGCAUUUAGGAUCUCACUAGCUCUUGAUGGAACCCUUGUGCAGAUAGCAUAUUUAUAGUCAAAGCAUUAAAUCUUAUACUCUUAUAUAGACAAAUUUAAAAAAAUUAUAGCAGUAUGAAUGUACUCAGUUAGCAAAUUAUUCUGAUUUUUCACUUUUUUUUAUAUCUAAAUGUCUCUUUUCACCUAUUUCAAUGAUGUUAAUCUGUGUUUGGAGGAUAUUGUUUAGGUUGACCAAAAGUUUGGGUUUUUUGUAAAAGGUUGUCAAAAGCUUUUUGUGCAGUGUUGAUGUAAUUGUUCAGUUAUCUUAUCAGUAGAGUUAGAAUGCCAAAGAGAGUAUUUAACUGAUUAGAUCAUAGACUUUUGAUCUGACAAUAUUAAUAAAAUCAAAACUUUUCCAAAAAAAAAAAACAUAAGCAUAAAAUGGGGUUACGGACAUAUUAUUGUCAGUUGUUUCACUUCCCCUGUUUUUAUGCAUUGAUCAAUGCAAAAUCAUCUCUUAUACAAUGAGGCAACCUUGGAUGUUUGUGUCAUAUCUUUACUGAAGCAAAACCAAAAUUUAAUGUGAACACUGGUGAAAUAAGCUGAGAUUUUAUAGGCACUUGCUUUUGUAAGGAAUAUGUUAACAUUAUUUCUUUCUUUUUUUCUUCGUGUUUAUAAUGGGAUGAUGACAUUUUUUCAUUGUGUGAAGCAGGAAGAUUGCAUCUUGCUAAUUUCCUUCCAAAGUAGACUAUUGUUGAAUUGAAACCAAGAGAAAUUUCUAUUGGUAAAAUUUACCACUUAUUUGGUUUGUUUUACCAAUUUCAUUUACUUUCUAUAAGGAAUCCAUUAACACCCAACUUCUUACUUCUUUCUGCAUGUCUUUAUUGAGAUUAUGGACUUUUUCUGAUAGAUUGAGAGAGUACGAAUUGAUUUCAACUUGCCAAUGCCAUUGUGAAGAAGAGUACUACAAUCCAUGGAUUGGAAGCUUUUCUCUCAACAGUGUCAUCACUAUCUAUGUUACAGUUUGAUGGCAAUUCUAUGUGAGAGUUAAAUUUUACUUUUGAGUAUUUGAAUUCAAUAAAGGCUAGCUCAUGAAAAUAAUUUAACAGUUUGACCUUUGGUGUCUUUUUAGAUGACAACAAUUGCACAGCAUGCAACUCCUUCACCUUUUCUUCCCAAAAAGUGAGACUUGGUCUAAUGAUCUUGAAUUUAAGGUAAAUUAGCUUAUCACUUAUUGCUCUAUAGAAUUUACUGUGCAUAGAAUGUUGAUUAUUUUUUCACUGCUAUAUCGUUAUAAGAUUUUCAUUUUCCAUAGAAAAAUAAGAGGUCUCAUGACUUGCUCACCAACUCCCUUUCAAGGCAUUCUUGAAAUGCAGGUAUAUUCUCAAAGCAUAUCUAUUGCAAAAGUGAUAACUAUAUAUUAUAGUUUCUUUAGUUUUUGUUCUUGAUUUUUUGCAUAUCUUGUUCUUCAACGCUUGGUUAUAACAAUGAAUUUUUAGACUAGUUAUCUGUGAAUGAAGGCAAACAACACUUGCAAAGUAGUGGCUUGAGUGACUGGGAGAAUAGUUUGGAGCUGAGCUGGUUGGAAAACCCCUUAGCUUCUUUUAAAAUCAAUUUCAAUAGUUCCAUAUUGGCCAUUCUUGGAGGUCUUUAAACUAUGGCUUCAAUUCUAGUCUGUGGGCCUCUACUCAAUUAACCCAAACUAUUAAGGGGACCUAAUUACAAAUGUUCUUUCCAAUGUUUAUGAAGAAGACUUUUGGGAUACUGUUCUGGGAUUUGCUAUUUGCUACAUUUGGGUGCUGCAAAGUGUCAAAGAAUUGUCAAUCAAAGAAUGUCCACAGUUGUCAGAAAGAUGUAAAAAGGAGACAGAAAUCCAGUGUGGCCUCACAUUGCUCUCAUCCUGACUAUUUAUAUUGAUGGCCAACAGUUCAAUGAUGAUCAUUCAAUAUAGGUAAUCAUAUUUUUCUUCACCUCUGUUUAUAUUUUCUCCCUUUAUCUGAUAAUUCCUUCUUUUUUUUAUUUUUCUUCUUGGAUUUGAAUGAUUCAUACUUUGUUUUAUACAUGUAAUCCAAGUUGGUACACUGAUUCGCCUAUAAUUUGUACAGAUAGCAUACUUGUUGUGAAAGCAUUAAAUUUUAUACUCUUGUACAGAUAAACGUACUUAAGUUACCUAAUUAUUCUGAUUUUUUAUUUUGUUAUAUCAAUUCCUAACUUCUAUGGUUUAACAAAAGUAUAAAAUGGAGUUAUGGACAGAUUAUUGUCAGUUGUUUCAAUUCCCCUGUUUUUAUUCAUUGAUUAAUGCAAAAUAUCUCUUAUACAAUGAGGCAACAUUGGAUGUUUGUGUCGUAUAUUUUCAGAAGCAAAACCAAAAUUAAAUGGAAAAGGAUCGCAAGACAGAUUACUUCUAUCACAGAGAUUCUAAGUAAUUGAAACAUUGGUGAAAUAAGCUGAGAUGUGAGAGUGAGUAUCCCUGAAAAUUUACAGCUACAAGUUUGUUAGAGGGCCUAUCUCCAGUCAAGACUCCUGAGCUGGAAGCUAGUAAUAAGAGAAACUAAUGUGAAUGUCUGCUUGUACAUUUCCUGCUGUCUUUGUCGCGAUGAGGAGAUAUUGCUAUAGGUAAUAUUUUCGCCUCUUCUUCUUGAUGUUGGCACUUGCUUUUGUAAAGAAUAUAUUAACAUCAGUUCUUUCUUUUUUGUUUGUGUUUAUAAUGGGAUGAUGACAUUUUUUCAUUGUUUGAAGCAGGACGAUUUCAUCUUGCUAAUUUCCUUCCAGAGCAGACAGUUGUUGAAUUCAAACCAAGAGAAAUAUCUAUUGGUAUAAUUUACCACUUAUUCAGUUUGUCUUACUAAUUUCAUUUGCUUUCUAUAAGGAAUCCAUUAACACCUAACUUCAUACUUCUUUUUGCAUGUCUUUAUUGGGAUUAUGGACUUUUCUUGAUAGUUUGAGAAAGAACAUACAGAUUUCAACUUGCCAAUGCCAUUGUGAAGUAUAGUUAAAUUUUACUCUCAACAGCAUCAUCACUAUCUAUGUGAGAGUUAAAUUUUGCUUUGAGUAUUUAAAUUCAAUAAAGGCUAACAGAUGAAAAUAAUUCAACAGCUUGACCUCUAGUUUCCUCUUUAGGUAACAAAGACUACACAACAUGCAACUCUUUCACCUUCUCUUAUCAAGAAGUGAGCCUUGAUCUAACGAUCUUGAAUUCAAGGUUAAUUGGCUUUUCAUUUACUGCUAUAUUAUAUAUGAGGAAUGUGCCAUGUAUAGAACCCUCAAUAUUUUUGCAUUGCUCUAACAUUUAAGAUUUUCAUUUUCCAUAUUAAAAGAAGAGAUGCCAAUGACUUGCCCGCCAACUCCCUUUCAGCCAUUUUUUAAAUGCAGGUAUUCUCAAAGCAUUAUCUAUUGCAUACAUGAUUCUAUAUGUUGAAGUUUCUUUAGUUUUUGUUCAUAUUUUUUGGCAUAUCUUUAUCCUCAAUGUUUCUUUAUAACAAUGGUUUUUUUGACUAGUUAGCUGUGAAUGGAGUCAACCAAUGCUUGCUAAGUAGUGGCUUGAGUGGUUGGGAGAAGUGCCUGGAGAGCUAAGCUGGUUGGAAAACCCCUUUGCUUCUUUCAAAAUCAAUGUGAAUGGUUCUAUCUUGGCCAUUCUUGGAGGUGUUUGAGCAUUGGCUUCAAUUCUAUUCUUUAGGCAUUUACUUAUUUAACCCAAACUGUUAAAGAAGACUUAAAUACAAAGGUUCUUUCAUAAUGUACAUAUGGAGAAGACUUUUGGGGGGUCUAAGUCUGAAAGACAUCAAGAAUUUAGAAGUUCUGCCAGAAGAGUUCCUACUGCCAUACUGCCAUACUGCCUUAAAUUAGAAUUGCUACUGCCUUAAAAGCAUUGUCCUUAGGCAAUUAUCUUGAUCUGAGGGCUUUGCCAGACUGGAUACUCAAUCUCACUUCCCCUAAAACACUUGAAAUUUAGAAGUGCCUUGAAUUACAGUACAUGCCAGAAGGGAUGCCUCGGCUUACAUCUGUACAAGAAUUUUAUGUUUACUACCAUAAUUUAAGGCUUUGCCAGACUGGAUACUCAAUCUCAGUUCCCUCAAAGACCUUUAUAUAUGUGAGUGCCUUUAUUCACCGUACUUGCAAGAAGGGAUGCAUAGCCUCACCUCUUUAGAACGAUUGAUGGUUGAAUAUUACCCUAAUCUGAUUUCUUCCACAUAUUCUCUCAAAGCACUUCUAAUUCGGGGGUGCUCUGAUUUAAGCUUCUAGAGAACGAGGCAUGGCUUUUCCACUUUAGAAGAAUUGAAUGUUCAAAAUUGCCCUAAUCUGAAGGAUUUACUGAAUCGCAUACCUUACAAGAUCACUUCCCUCAAAACACUUAAGAUUUGUAAGUGCCCUAAAUUACAAGACUUGCCAGAAAGGAUGGAUGGCCUUACCUCUUUACAAGUAUUGUCAAUCAGUGAAUGUCCCCAGUUGUCGGAAAGAUGUGCAAAGAAGACCGAAAUCUUGUGGCCUCGCAUUGCCCGCAUCCGUUCUAUUACAAUUGAUGGGUGACAGAUUCAAUGAUGAUCAUACAAUAUAGGUAACCACAUGUUUCUUCACCUCUAUUUAUAUUUUCUCCCUUUACUUGAUAAUUCUUCUUGUUUUCUUGCUGGAUUUGGAUGAUACGUAAUUCGUUGUAUGCAUGGAAUCCAAGUUGACUAUGCAAAAGUGGAUUUAAUCCAUUCUCUGCUACUUCUUUCUAAGUGGACUAACAAUAUUGAUUUCUUUUUUCCUUUCUUACUUUGAAUUUUAUUUUUGUUCAGUUAAAUAUUACUAAUAUGAAAUGUGACCAAAACUUGAUAUCCAAACUCUGCCAGUAUUUCACUGCAAUAGUGAACUUUUGCCUCGUUUCAAUCUCUCAUUCUCUAAUUGUAAUCCUAAAUUUGAAGCAUUCAGGAUCUCACUAGCUCUUGAUGGAACCCUUGUGUAGAUAGCAUGUUUAUAGCGAAGCAUUAAAAUUUUCCAUUUUAAUAGUAUUAAAAGGGACGCAUCAGCUUAUCUCUUUAGAAGUAUUGUUCAUAGAGAACUGUCCUAAUUUGAGGGCUUUGCCAGACUGGAUACUCAAUCUCACUUCCCUUACAAAACUUCAAAUUCAGAAGUGCCUUGAAUUACAAUACACGCCAGAAGGGACGCAUCAGCUUACCUCUUUAAAAGAAUUGUCCAUAAACAAUUGCCCUAAUCUGAGGGCUUUGUUUGACUGGAUGCUCAAUCUCACUUCUCUUUAAACACUUCGAAUUUGGGAGUGCUUUCAAUUACAUUAGAUGCCAGAAGGGACAUCUCGGCUUACAUCUUUAGAAGAAUUAUAUGUUUAUUGCCAUAAUUUGAGGGCUUUGCCAGACUAAAUACUCAAUCUCACUUCCUUCAAAGACCUUUAUAUAUGCGAGUACCUUCAAUCACCGUACUUGCAAGAAGGGAUGCAAAGCCUCACCUCUUUAGAACGAUUGAUGGUUCAAUAUUGUCCUAAGCUGAGUUCUUCCACACAUUCUCUCAAAGCACGUCUAAUUCGGGGGUGCCCUAAUUUAAGCACCUGGGGAAUGAGGCAUUGCUUCACCACUUUAGAAGUAUUGGAUGUUCAAAAUUGCCCUAGUUUGGGGAAAUUGCUAUAUCCCAUAGCUGACAUGAUCACUUCUUUCAAAACACUUAAGAUUUGUAAGUGCCCUGAAUUACAAGACUUGCCAGAAAAGAUGGAUGGUCUUGCCUCGUUACAAGUAUUGUCAAUCAAUGAAUGUCCCCAGUUGUCAAAAAGAUGUGAAAAGGAGACUGGAAUCCUGUGGCCUCGCAUUGCUUGCAUCCCUUCUAUUAUAAUUGAUGGGCGACAGAUUCAAUGGUGAUCAUACAAUAUUUAUAUAGGUAACCAUAUUUUUCUUCACUUCUAUUUAUAUUUUCUCCCUUUACUAGAUAAUUCUUUUUGUUUCUUGCUG
rnacentral:lncRNA from 1 species